AAGGCUUGCUACAGUGAAUUCCACACCAAAAACACCAUUUCCUCACCUUUCCUCCCUAUUUCUGCCGACCAAGCUCGCUGCCUCUAUGCGUUCUCCACCCGAUCGUGCCAACGCCGCCCAACUUGUCGCCGGCCGAGUCUUCUAACCUCUCUACCCUUUACCUGGAGCUCCACCAGUCGAUCCUCUCUUCGAAUCUUUGUCUCCGCGCAAGACAUCUUUGGCCAGGAGGACCAGAUUUGAGACCUAGAUCCGCUGGAGUGAAGCUCGGGUUCCAGCGAUGACUACCUGGUUGCAAUCGACAUUUUCCAGAGGGCUGUCUCUACCUUCUGUGGCCUAACACCAAGCUUCUGUCACCGAUCUCUUUCGCCUACCCCGACGAACGCUUACUGUGGAUUCUAUUGGGAAGAGAUCGUUGACACUAGCAUAGGGUAAGAUGUGUAGAUCUGGAAUUUAGGUUUGUAGAAGAUCUGAGUUUCAAAGUUAGUAUGGGAUUUGGUGCUAACUGGUGUGGAUAUCUUUGGCUGUGAUUUCAUUUUAGCUUCGGUCAAGAAAUUGCGAUAGCAAGGAUUUCAGCUAGCAAUUUCUGAUAGUUGUUUAUUUGGCCGUGAGACAACAGAGAAAUGUGGCAGUAAGGGCCUUGAUUUACUACGAGCCGCUUAACAUGGAGAUAAUAUUCGAGACGCGUUAUAUUUGAGACGGGUACUGAAGGCGCUAGAAUUCCAUUCUGUUUAAA